rnacentral:rRNA from 1 species
GAUGAACGCUAGCGGCAGGCUUAACACAUGCAAGUCGAGGGGCAGCAUGAGACGGAGAUUCGUCAAAGUCUUGAUGGCGACCGGCGCAAGGGUGCGUAACGCGUGAGCAACUUGCCCGUUUCAGGGGGAUAACCGGUGGAAACGCCGACUAAUACCCCAUGGUAUGUUUUUAAGGCAUCUUUUAAACAUUAAAGAAUUUCGGAAACGGAUAGGCUCGCGUGACAUUAGCUAGAUGGCGGGGUAACGGCCCACCAUGGCGACGAUGUCUAGGGGUUCUGAGAGGAAGGUCCCCCACACUGGAACUGAGACACGGUCCAGACUCCUACGGGAGGCAGCAGUGAGGAAUAUUGGUCAAUGGUCGAGAGACUGAACCAGCCAUGCCGCGUGAAGGUGACGGCCCUAUGGGUCUUAAACUUCUUUUGUAAGGGAGCAAUAAGGUUCACUUGUGGACUGAUGAGAGUACCUUACGAAUAAGCAUCGGCUAACUCCGUGCCAGCAGCCGCGGUAACAC